AUAUCGAUACUGGAUAUUGGAUAAAGAUAACCAACAAAGAGGGGAUUACAUCUACCGGUUACUGGGUAUAAAACCAUAGAAAUAGGACUUACAACUACCGGUUACUGGGUAGAGGGCCACGAAAUCCACUAGGGAAAAGAUGGAUAAUUAUUGGUUACUGAGCAAUUAAACACCUAAACUACAAGGAACUGCAGGGGAAUAACAGGAAGAUGAGUCAAUCCAGGAACAAUCUGGAGAGACACAAUUAAACAAGACU
rnacentral:lncRNA from 1 species